GAUGAACGCUAGCUACAGGCUUAACACAUGCAAGUCGAGGGGCAGCAUUUCAGUUUGCUUGCAAACUGGAGAUGGCGACCGGCGCACGGGUGAGUAACACGUAUCCAACCUGCCGAUAACUCGGGGAUAGCCUUUCGAAAGAAAGAUUAAUACCCGAUGGUAUAAUCAGACCGCAUGGUCUUGUUAUUAAAGAAUUUCGGUUAUCGAUGGGGAUGCGUUCCAUUAGGCAGUUGGUGAGGUAACGGCUCACCAAACCUUCGAUGGAUAGGGGUUCUGAGAGGAAGGUCCCCCACAUUGGAACUGAGACACGGUCCAAACUCCUACGGGAGGCAGCAGUGAGGAAUAUUGGUCAAUGGGCGCAGGCCUGAACCAGCCAAGUAGCGUGAAGGAUGACUGCCCUAUGGGUUGUAAACUUCUUUUAUAUGGGAAUAAAGUUUUCCACGUGUGGAAUUUUGUAUGUACCAUAUGAAUAAGGAUCGGCUAACUCCGUGCCAGCAGCCGCGGUAAUACGGAGGAUCCGAGCGUUAUCCGGAUUUAUUGGGUUUAAAGGGAGCGUAGGUGGACAGUUAAGUCAGUUGUGAAAGUUUGCGGCUCAACCGUAAAAUUGCAGUUGAUACUGGCUGUCUUGAGUACAGUAGAGGUGGGCGGAAUUCGUGGUGUAGCGGUGAAAUGCUUAGAUAUCACGAAGAACUCCGAUUGCGAAGGCAGCUCACUGGACUGCAACUGACACUGAUGCUCGAAAGUGUGGGUAUCAAACAGGAUUAGAUACCCUGGUAGUCCACACAGUAAACGAUGAAUACUCGCUGUUUGCGAUAUACAGUAAGCGGCCAAGCGAAAGCAUUAAGUAUUCCACCUGGGGAGUACGCCGGCAACGGUGAAACUCAAAGGAAUUGACGGGGGCCCGCACAAGCGGAGGAACAUGUGGUUUAAUUCGAUGAUACGCGAGGAACCUUACCCGGGCUUAAAUUGCAUUUGAAUAUAUUGGAAACAGUAUAGCCGUAAGGCAAAUGUGAAGGUGCUGCAUGGUUGUCGUCAGCUCGUGCCGUGAGGUGUCGGCUUAAGUGCCAUAACGAGCGCAACCCUUAUCUUUAGUUACUAACAGGUCAUGCUGAGGACUCUAGAGAGACUGCCGUCGUAAGAUGUGAGGAAGGUGGGGAUGACGUCAAAUCAGCACGGCCCUUACGUCCGGGGCUACACACGUGUUACAAUGGGGGGUACAGAAGGCAGCUACCUGGUGACAGGAUGCUAAUCCCAAAAGCCUCUCUCAGUUCGGAUCGAAGUCUGCAACCCGACUUCGUGAAGCUGGAUUCGCUAGUAAUCGCGCAUCAGCCAUGGCGCGGUGAAUACGUUCCCGGGCCU
rnacentral:rRNA from 1 species